rnacentral:rRNA from 1 species
AAUAGAUACCCGGGUAGUCCACGCCGUAAACGAUAGAUACUAGCUGUUGGGGGCAACUUCAGUGGCUAAGCGAAAGUGAUAAGUAUCCCACCUGGGGAGUACGUUCGCAAGAAUGAAACUCAAAGGAAUUGACGGGGGCCCGCACAAGCGGUGGAGCAUGUGGUUUAAUUCGAUGAUACGCGAGGAACCUUACCAAGGCUUAAAUGUAGACUGACCGGUUUGGAAACAGACCUUUCGCAAGACAGUUUACAAGGUGCUGCAUGGUUGUCGUCAGCUCGUGCCGUGAGGUGUCAGGUUAAGUCCUAUAACGAGCGCAACCCCUGUUGUUAGUUGCCAGCGAGUCAUGUCGGGAACUCUAACAAGACUGCCAGUGCAAACUGUGAGGAAGGUGGGGAUGACGUCAAAUCAUCACGGCCCUUACGCCUUGGGCUACACACGUGCUACAAUGGCCGGUACAGAGAGCAGCCACCUCGCGAGGGGGAGCGAAUCUACAAAAGCCGGUCACAGUUCGGAUCGGAGUCUGCAACUCGACUCCGU